rnacentral:rRNA from 1 species
GUUAUAUGGUCAAGCGAAUAAGCGCACACGGUGGAUGCCUUGGCGGUCAGAGGCGAUGAAGGACGUGGUAGCCUGCGAAAAGUAUCGGGGAGCUGGCAACAAGCUUUGAUCCGGUAAUGUCCGAAUGGGGAAACCCACCUCCUAGGAGGUACUGCAUGGUGAAUACAUAGCCAUGCAGGGCGAACGCGGUGAACUGAAAUAUCUAAGUAACCGUAGGAAAAGAAAUCAACCGAGAUUCCCUGAGUAGUGACGAGCGAACGGGGAACAGCCCAAAAGUCGAUAUGGUUUUAGCAAAACGGUCCUGGAAAGACCGGCCAUAGAAGGUGAUAGCCCUGUAUGCGAAAGGGCCAUAUCGAUGAAAAAUGAGUAGGGCGGGGCACGAGAAACCCUGUCUGAAUAUGGGGGGACCAUCCUCCAAGGCUAAAUACUCCUGACCGACCGAUAGUGAACCAGUACCGUGAGGGAAAGGCGAAAAGAACCCCGGAGAGGGGAGUGAAAUAG